AUAUCGGUGGUGUCCACCUCUUCCCAUUCCGAACAGAGAAGUUAAGCCCACCAGAGCCGAUGGUACUGCGGUAACACGUGGGAGAGUAGGUCGGUGCCAGAU
rnacentral:rRNA from 1 species